GAUGAAGAACGCAGCGAAAUGCGAUACUUGGUGUGAAUUGCAGAAUCCCGUGAACCAUCGAGUCUUUGAACGCAAGUUGCGCCCGAAGCCAUUAGGCCGAGGGCACGCCUGCCUGGGCGUCACACGACGUUGCCCCCCCAUCUACUCCUUCGGGAUUGCGGGGGGCGGAUGAUGGCCUCCCGUGCGCCUCGUCGCGCGGUUGGCAUAAAUGCCAAGUCCUCGGCGACGCACGCCACGACAAUCGGUGGUUGCGAAACCUCGGUUGCCCGUCGUGUGCGGUCGUCGCGCAUCGAGGGCUCGAAAAAAUUGCCGGGCUCCGGCUCGACUUUCAACGCGACCCCAGGUCAGGCGGGGUUACCCGCUGAAUUUAAGCAUAUCAAUAAGCGGAGGA
rnacentral:misc_RNA from 1 species